CGGGAGUAAAGCGGAGGCAGAGCGAAGACUUGAAAAUAGAACGAAGCAGCAGAGCAACAGCAAAGGCACCGCUGGACGGGCAGAGAUGCGAUGCGGUGAGUUCAUGAUGCAUGAUCAAAACUGAAACAGUCCCUUGCAUUGUUCACCAAGUAAGAGCUUGUUCGUGGUGCUUCAGAAGAUUGGAGACUGUUGAGAGUUAGGCUUGGGGUUGAUUAAUGAUUGUGUACUGAGUCCCCUAUACAGAAUUUUAUUGUUGUUAACAACCAUUUGAUCAAUAAAUAUGAGAGGUGCCCUCUCAGCACCACUCUUGCGCUGUU